ensembl:snoRNA
GCAUAUGAUGAAGCAAAUGAGUAUGAAUAAAGUCAUGAUACUGUAAAUGCUUUCUAAAAAUAUG